CGCACCUUGCGCUCCUUGGUAUUCCUUGGAGCAUGCCUGUUUGAGUAUCAUGAAAUAUUCAAAGCAAAAUCUUUUGUUAAUUCAAUUGGUCUUUGCUUUGGUCUUGGAGGUCUUUUGCAGCUUCACACCUGCUCCUCUUUGUGCAUUAGCUGGAUCUCAGUGUUAUGCUUGGUUCCACUCGGCGUGAUAAGUUAUCUAUCGCUGAGGACACUGUAAAAAGGUGGCCAAGGUAAAUGCAGAUGAACCGCUUCUAAUAGUCCAUUGAGUUGGACAAUAUUCUUUAUGAUCUGAUCUCAAAUCAGGUAGGACUACCCGCUGAACUUAA
rnacentral:rRNA from 1 species